rnacentral:rRNA from 1 species
AUGCCUACCUCCCCGGCCGCCUCCGCCGGAGCCGUCGCCUCCCCCUCCGGAUCCUCCCCGGCCUCCGCCGCCGCGUCGGCGGCCGACUCGGCCACCCCGUCCUGGUGGGAGUCCGUCUCCCAGGCGCGCUCCCGCAUCCUCGCGCUCGCCUCCAUCCUCCCACCCGAGGUCUCCCCCGGCGUGUCGGCUCUCGCGGACUCCGACCGCCCCGCCCGCGCCCUCCUCCGCUCCGCCGCCGCCUACGACGCCCUCUCCGGGGCGCUCCGCGCGGGGGGCGGCGCCGACGACCCCGCCUGCCACUGGCUCUACGACACGCUCCUCUCCCAGGACCCCGACCUCCGCCUCGCCGCGCUCGCCUUCCUCCCGCUCCUCUCGUCGCUCUACCUCCUCCGCCUGCCUCCCGCGCUCCCAUCCUCGCUAUCUGGCUUCGAGGCCGUCCUCCUCGCCGUCUACUCUUCCGAGGCCAAGAGCCGCCAGGGAAAGCCCGUGCUUGUCCAUGUCCCCGACCUCUCCGUCCCCUCCCUGUACCACACUCCGCAGUCCAGCCCCAGCUCGAGAUCGCCUCGCCGGCCGCACCCGCCGCCGAUCCCCCCUCCUCCCGCAAAUGUGGUGGUGGGCGUGCUGUCGCCGCCGCUGGAGCCACAGGCUGCAGUGAAGUCGACCAAGCGCGCGGGGAUUAUAGGGGUCGCCUUUGAGGCGUACUACGCCAAGAUCGCCCAGAUGCCCCCUGCAUCCAAGGUGGAUGCCUGCAAUGCGGUGGCUGCCUGGGCGGGGCAGUACUGCAGAUGCCGUUUUGAGCUUGAUGAAGAGUUGGAGGUGGAGGAAGGGGAUUCUCUGGGCUCCAUGUCGCCAUUGUCCACCGAUGCUGAGAAUGGGAAUGGGAAAGCCCUGGAGGAAGAAUUGGCAAAGCUGAGUGUCAAUGGAGACAGCAGUGGACGGAAUUGUGGUAAGGAGGAGGAGGUAAGGGAGGCAAGGGUGCAGCUACCGUGGGAGUUUCUGCAGCCAGUGAUGAGGGUUCUUGGGCACUGCUUGCUCGCGCCACUGAACCCAAUGGAGGUGCGGGAUGCCGCCGCAGAAGCUGUGCGGGUUGUCUAUGCCCGUGCAUGUCAUGACCUUGUGCCACAGGCAAUUCUGGCAGCCCGGAGCUUGAUUGAGCUUGACAAAAGCGCCCGCAAGGCUGCCAAGGCAGCAGCUGUAGCGGCCUCCGGAAUAAUGGUAGCCUCUGGCACAGCUGGAAGCACCGCAUCGAGCUCCAGACCAAGUUCCAAGCCAAACACGCCGAGCAAGCAACGCAAACCUGACAUGCUGCUUGUGUCCAAAUGA